rnacentral:ncRNA from 1 species
GUCCUCAGUUCGGAUUGCAGGCUGCAACUCGCCUGCAUGAAGCAGGAAUCGCUAGUAAUCGCCGGUCAGCCAUACGGCGGUGAAUCCGUUCCCGGGCCUUGUACACACCGCCCGUCACACUAUAGGAGCUGGCCAUGUUUGAACUCAUUACCCUUAACCGUAAGGAGGGGGAUGCCUAAGGCUAGGCUUGCGACUGGAGUGAAGUCGUAACAAGGGAGCCGUACUGGAAGGUGCGGCUGG